AGUGAACGCUGGCGGUAGGCCUAACACAUGCAAGUCGAACGGCAGCACAGUAAGAGCUUGCUCUUACGGGUGGCGAGUGGCGGACGGGUGAGGAAUACAUCGGAAUCUACUUUUUCGUGGGGGAUAACGUAGGGAAACUUACGCUAAUACCGCAUACGACCUACGGGUGAAAGCAGGGGAUCUUCGGACCUUGCGCGAUUGAAUGAGCCGAUGUCGGAUUAGCUAGUUGGCGGGGUAAAGGCCCACCAAGGCGAAGAUCCGUAGCUGGUCUGAGAGGAUGGUCAGCCACACUGGAGCUGAGACACGGUCCAGACGCCUACGGGAGGCAGCAGUGGGGAAUAUUGGACAAUGGGCGCAAGCCUGAUCCAGCCAGACCGCGUGGGUGAAGAAGGCCUUCGGGUUGUAAAGCCCUUUUGUUGGGAAAGAAAAGCAGCAGGUUAAUACCCCGCUGUUCUGACGGUACCCAAAGAAUAAGCACCGGCUAACUUCGU
rnacentral:rRNA from 1 species